UGCUCUGUGAUACUCUGCAAUAUUGCAGUAUACGCUAUUCUGAUUCAAAUUAUGAGCAGAAAAUUUAUAUUGAUGAGAGCU